GCUCCAGUGGUCUAAUGGUUAAAGCAUCCACCUCAGAUGCGAGAGGUUGUUGGUUCGAAUCCCGACCGAGUCA